UAUACGGAAGAAAGACGAAAACUGCUUCUCUCUCCUUCUUUCUUCAAAAUUCAGUCAGUCCUGCAACUUUAAUUUCUUCUUCUCCUCUGUGGGUUCCAUUUUCAUCAUUGUAGGUUGUGUUCAAUCAUUCCCAAACAAACAAAGUCGCAUCAUCUCAUCGCAGGUUUAACAACAUUGCUCCAGUGAAAUGAUAAAAAACGAACUGGAACUUUUAAAGUGAAAAGAGUAUGUCUGGCAGCGGAGGAAGGUGGUUACGCUUCUUUGUGCAAUUCAAGCUUUUUCCAACAUCAUCAAUAUGCAACAAAUCUGCCCAGAGAAGUUCCUUUUGCACUUCGGCAAAAAACAAUAACAACAACAAGGACAUCAUCACCGAUGAACGCUAUCAGCAGCUCGAAAAUCUCGACAUGAUUACUGCCGCCAAGAUCCUUUUCACCGAUCCCCCAAAGAAGAAAAAGUUUGGGUUUGAUUUUCAUCUUGUGCAAUUUUUUUUUGCCUGCAUGCCUUCCUUGGCUGUAUAUUUGGUGGCGCAGUAUGCUCGUAAUGAAAUAAGAAGAAUGGAAGGGGAAGUGGAGGAGAAAAAGAAAAAGAAGGAAGAAGAAGAAGCAAAGGAAAGAGAAAAAGAACUGGAACUAAAUCCCCCCGAGGAAAAUGAAGCAAAAUCUGAUGCUCAGCUAUCAGAGGUGAAAGAAAGACUUGACAAACUUGAAGAGAUUGUGAAGGAGAUUGCUGUUGUAACAAAGAAGCAAUCAAGCAGUAACAUAGACACAAAUCAGGUAACUGGCGAAGCGAAAGAACCCCAAAAUAUAUCUGCACCAAGUAACACGAGUGGAGGCAAGGAUAAUUCUCUCAAGUCAAAGCCAGAAUUAGAUGAAGAAAGUAAGGGUUCAGUGGUAACUCCAAAUUCUUCUCUUCAGGAUACAACAGGCCAGAAUCAAAGUGAAAAAUCUUCUUAAAGGUGCUUGGAUCUGGAGAACAUUUUUUAAGUCGAAAGUACAUAAUUUAUCAAAAGCUGUAGUGAAGGGAUCUUAUUGAUAUUUUGUUGAUUUUUGUUGGUGGAAACUUGAAAGCAAUUUCUAGUCAUGUUUUAUGAUAUUUCCCAAGCCAUGGUCAUGGUGUCUAGGGAAACUUGGAAAUUGGAUCGCAUCAUGGAUGGCAUCCCCCCAUGAAAUAUGGUUGGCUGAAUUUUGACUGAAAAUCAUGGUAGUCUCUAUCAGAGGCAGUUCACUUUGCUUCUUUCCCAUGGAUGAUAUAAUGUAAAUCCAAGAUUGAAGAGAUAGAAGAAAUUUUUCAUUUUGAUGUGCAUGAAGAUGUAAGAACAAUUGCUGAUGCCACUAUAGAAAAGGAUGAGUCUCAUGCUGGAAAAGUAGUAGAGUAUGAGAAGAACAAGCAUAUAUUCCUGCUUCAAGAUGGGAGGUACUUUGUUUCUCUCUUUCCCCUUUUCUGUGUGCAUACAGUUUAUAUGCCGAUCUUCAUCUUCUUUGGCGUCGUAGCAUAGUGUAUUUGUACAUAUUUAUUAUCACUAUGCUCUGAUUAGUGUGCCUGUAAUGUGUUGCAGCAGCAAAAUACACAGCUUCUGAUCUAUGUACCGUGUCACAGUGAUUCCUACCUAUGUAUCACAAAUUUUCUAUUUUAUAGUGUAUUUCCUAAUGAUUGCUCAGAUUUUCAUGUGACCUCUAUUUUGAAUUUGUUGUUAAAUUUAUACAUGUUGUAAUUGGAUAUAACCGAUCAUGUUAGUAAUUGGAUAUAACUGCAACUAUAAAAAGGAUAUUCUAUCUAUUUGUUGCCAGGAAGUAAGCUUGGAACUUAUUUGAUUAACUUUGUAUGAACUGCUAAGAUGCAAUUUUUUCUUGUUAACUCCUACAUGACAAAAUCUGUUUUGACGAAACUUUGAAUCUGGUUGCCGUCUCUGUUCUGAACAGUUAUGGUUGAAUAUCCAAGCUGUAAAUUUCCACACAUAAACACCUUCACUUCACUUACUCUCACCCAUUAAAAAUUAAAAUGCCUUAUAUUUCAUAUUCCUUGUAGAAAACCAUUUGUUUCUUAUUUUUCUUCCUUUAGAUUCACCGAUCACACAUUGCCGUGCCUUCUGCAUGCUUUAUUCUACAAUGAUAUUAAAGUUUUGUAGAUUUCAUAAAACCAAACAUCUCUAAAUAAAAAGUUGACUUUUCUGCCUCUACAUGUUUUUCUGAUAGAUUUAGUACAAUCCAUCUUUAUUGACAUCUAUAGCUGAGUUCAUGUGAAUACACAUCUUUUUUUUUUUUUGAAGAAGCUAAAUUAGCCCACCCAAAUUAGCGUCAGAGAGAAUCGAAUCUCAGACCUCAAGAGGAGCACACUCCCAGGUCCCAAGCCAAUACCAAUGCACCAUGUGAAUACACAUCUUACUUUUUUCUAGGCUUUUGAAUUAUGAUACACAUUUCUCAAUUUCUGAUGCUUUUGUCUUUGAUUUCCAGGGGAAGCCAGUGGACAGGAGCCUGUGUAAUGGGAUUUGGAGAUCUAAUUAAUCUCCCUCAAGUAAAGGCCGGAAACCAGGAAGAAGUCAUUCAUACAGGGUGGAUAUGUCAAAGAUUUUGAAAAUCAAGAAAAUGUUGAGGAAGAAAGAAAAGAUCUUGCUUUAGCCAAUACAACAGAGAAGGCAUCACAGUUGCGCGACAACUGCAAUACUCUAAUAAAAGGGGAUGCUAAGUCAGGAGCAGAAUUUUUCGCAAAUCAAACUUAUCAAGGUCUGAAUAUGCCUGAAGAGAAUACCACCCCACAACCAUUUGUCAUACGAAGGAGAGGAAGGGCAGCUGUGUAUGAGGAUGAGAAUAACAAACAUUGAAAUUUAUACAAAGUGUCUCAAAGAUAUAUUCUUUGCUUUGCAUUUGAUUGUAAUCUCUUAGUCUUUUUUUUUUACGGAUUAACCUUAGUAUGUGUUUGGUUCUGAGUGAGAAAGAAUUGAUUUUGACAUAAUUGAGUUUGAUAGAAUUGAUUUUGCUUAAAAGUGAGUUGAACAAAAUUGAUUUAUGUUUGGAUACAUCAAUAUAAAAGUGAUUAUUAAUAUU